AUAGUACUGUUGCUGGCCUUUAUAAUAUGAGGUAUGUGCACGUACUAUUUCUAAUCUAUUCAUCCACCUGUGCAUUUAUUGUAGGAGGUCUUUAAAGGGUUAACUUGUACUUGUACAAAGUUGACUUGGAAAAGGACUUUCUAUGUUCUUAUAAACCUUAUUGAAGUAUGUUUUUGAAUGUAUUUUAUUGGGACUUUAUUGGCCCUUUAAACUUGUACAACUUUUAGCAACGGAUCUCUUGGCUCUCCCAUCGAUGAAGAACGCAGCGAAAUGCGAUAAGUAAUGUGAAUUGCAGAAUUCAGUGAAUCAUCGAAUCUUUGAACGCACCUUGCGCCCUCUGGUAUUCCGGAGGGCAUGCCUGUUUGAGUGUCAUUAAAUUCUCAACUCUAAAAGCUUUCAUUAGCUUAUUUAGAGCUUGGAUGUUGGGAGCUUGCUGGUGUCUUUAGAUAUUCGGCUCUCCUUAAAUUCAUUAGUGGAAGUCUCUUUGUUGGAGUCAUCCUUGGUGUGAUAAUUAUCUACGCUUUGGAUAGUCCGAUGUUUCCAUUGAGGUUGUGUUUAGUAUUGCGACUAGUUGCUUUACUUUUGGAUCUCAGAGGAAAAGGGAAAGUUUUGCUCUCUAACUGUCUGUGCUUACUAUAGACAACUUAUUGACUAUUUGACCUCAAAUCAGGUAGGACUACCCGCUGAACUUAAGCAUAUCAAUAAGCGGAGGAAAAGAAACUAACAAGGAUUCCCCUAGUAACUGCGAGUGAAGAGGGAAAAGCUCAAAUUUAAAAUCUGGCAGUCUUUGAUUGUCCGAGUUGUAAUUUAGAGAAGUGUUACCCGCGUUGGACCGUGUACAAGUUUCCUGGAAUGGAACGUCAUAGAGGGUGAGAAUCCCGUCUUUGACACGGAUCCCAAUGCAUUGUGGUGCGCUCUCGAAGAGUCGAGUUGUUUGGGAAUGCAGCUCUAAAUGGGUGGUAAAUUCCAUCUAAAGCUAAAUAUUGGGGAGAGACCGAUAGCGAACAAGUACCGUGAGGGAAAGAUGAAAAGAACUUUGGAAAGAGAGUUAAACAGUACGUGAAAUUGCUAAAAGGGAAACGCUUGAAGUCAGUCGCGUUGGCCAGGGAUCAGCCUUCCUUUUGGUUGGUGUACUUCCUGGUUGAUGGGUCAGCAUCAGUUUUGAUCGGUGGAUAAAGGUGAGAGGAAUGUGGCAUCUUCGGGUGUGUUAUAGCCUCUUAUUGUAUACAUCGGUUGGGACUGAGGAACUCAGCACGCCGCAAGGCCGGGUUUUUAACCACGUUCGUGCUUAGGAUGCUGGCAUAAUGGCUUUAAUCGACCCGUCUUGAAACACGGACCAAGGAGUCUAACAUGCCUGCGAGUGUUUGGGUGGAAAACCCGAGCGCGUAAUGAAAGUGAAAGUUGGGAUCUCUGUCGUGGAGAGCACUGACGCCCUGCCCAGACCUUUUGUGACGGUGCAGCGGUUGAGCAUGUAUGUUGGGACCCGAAAGAUGGUGAACUAUGCCUGAAUAGGGUGAAGCCAGAGGAAACUCUGGUGGAAGCUCGUAGCGAUUCUGACGUGCAAAUCGAUCGUCGAAUUUGGGUAUAGGGGCGAAAGACUAAUCGAACCAUCUAGUAGCUGGUUCCUGCCGAAGUUUCCCUCAGGAUAGCAGAAACUCAUUGUCAGAUUUAUGUGGUAAAGCGAAUGAUUAGAGGCCUUGGGGUUGUAACAACCUUAACCUAUUCUCAAACUUUAAAUAUGUAAGAACGAGCCGUCUCUUAAUUGGACCGCUCG
rnacentral:sRNA from 1 species